rnacentral:lncRNA from 1 species
GGAUGUAAAGUGAGCGAGCUAGAAACCCGAGAAGGGAGGAGAGGGAUGGGGAUCAAAUGUAUCAGAAAGGAGCUAAAUCUGAUGGUAAGAAUUAGCCUCAAGGUUUCUACCAAUAGAAAGGUCUACAAACCAGAAAUUCUUGGCUUGGGGUUGUUGAGUUGUAUGACCCAUGGACAUACUUCAGUUUUGUUUUUGUUUUGUUUUGUUUUAUUUUGUUUUGUUUUUUUCUCCCUGGCACGGUGGCUCAAACCUGUAAUCCCAGCAUUUUAGGAGGCCCAGGCAGGUGGAUCACCUGAGGUCAGGAGUUCGAGACCAGCCUGGCCAACAGGGUAAAAUCCCAUCUCUACUAAAAAUACAAAAAUUAGCCACGCGUAGUGGCUGGCGCCUGUAAUCCCAGCUACCCAGGAGGUUGAGGCAGGAGAAUCGCUUGAACCCAGG